rnacentral:rRNA from 1 species
UACGGAGGGUGCAAGCGUUAAUCGGAAUCACUGGGCGUAAAGCGCGCGUAGGCCGCCUUUUAAGUCGGACGUGAAAGCCCUCGGCUCAACCGAGGAACUGCGUUCGAAACUGGGAGGCUUGAGUCCUGGAGAGGGUGGCGGAAUUCCGGGUGUAGGAGUGAAAUCCGUAGAUAUCCGGAGGAACACCGGUGGCGAAGGCGGCCACCUGGACAGGUACUGACGCUGAGGCGCGAAAGCGUGGGGAGCAAACAGG